UACAGAGGGUGCAAGCGUUGUUCGGAAUUAUUGGGCGUAAAGGGAGUGUAGGCGGUUUGCUAAGUCUUCUGUGAAAUCUACGGGCUCAGCCUGUAACGUGCAGAGGAAACUGACAGACUUGAGUGUCGGAGAGGAUAGUGGAAUUCCCGGUGUUGAGGUGAAAUUCGUAGAGAUCGGGAGGAACACCAGUGGCGAAGGCGACUAUCUGGCUGACAACUGACGCUGAGACUCGAAAGCAUGGGGAGCAAACAGG
rnacentral:rRNA from 1 species